rnacentral:rRNA from 1 species
AUGCCAUUUGGCCUAUGCAAUGGGUCGGCAACUUUCCAGUGCUUGAUGAACACGGUGUUCGGCCGCUAUGUGCGUAAGUUCAUCAUCAUAUUUUUGGAUGACAUCUUGGUAUUCAGCACUGACCUGCAGGAACACGAGGAACACCUUCGCCUCACGCUGCAACUUCUCCGCGAGCAUCAACUAUUCACCAAGGCCAGCAAGUGUUCGUUCGCACAAACAAGCAUUGAAUACCUUGGACAUGUGAUCUCACAAGAGGGAGUUGCUACGGACAACAGCAAGACCAGCGCCAUGCAGUCCUGGCCCGUGCCCACUACGCCCACCGAGCUGUGCGGCUUCUUGGGGUUGACGGGCUACUACCGCAAAUUCGUCCCCCAUUACGGCAUCAUCGCCAAGCCCCUGACGCAACUAUUGACGAAGAAAGGGUUUAUCUGGGACGACAAGGCGUAG